rnacentral:rRNA from 1 species
UUAUUAAUUUGAUAAAGUGCUGAUAGAUUUAUAUUGAUUACAGUGCGUUAAUUUUCGGAAUUAUAUAAUGGCAUAAUUAUCAUUGAUUUUUGUGUUUAUUAUAUGCACUUGUAUGAUUAACAAUGCGAAAGAUUCAGGAUACCUUCGGGACCCGUCUUGAAACACGGACCAAGGAGUCUAACAUAUGUGCAAGUUAUUGGGAUAUAAACCUAAUAGCGUAAUUAACUUGACUAAUAAUGGGAUUAGUUUUUUAGCUAUUUAUAGCUAAUUAACACAAUCCCGGGGCGUUCUAUAUAGUUAUGUAUAAUGUAUAUUUAUAUUAUUUAUGCCUCUAACUGGAACGUACCUUGAGCAUAUAUGCUGUGACCCGAAAGAUGGUGAACUAUACUUGAUCAGGUUGAAGUCAGGGAAACCCUGAUGGAAGACCGAAACAGUUCUGACGUGCAAAUCGAUUGUCAGAAUUGAGUAUAGGGGCGAAAGACCAAUCGAACCAUCUAGUAGCUGGUUCCUUCCGAAGUUUCCCUCAGGAUAGCUGGUGCAUUUUAAUAUUAUAUAAAAUAAUCUUAUCUGGUAAAGCGAAUGAUUAGAGGCCUUAGGGUCGAAACGAUCUUAACCUAUUCUCAAACUUUAAAUGGGUAAGAACCUUAACUUUCUUGAUAUGAAGUUCAAGGUUAUGAUAUAAUGUGCCCAGUGGGCCACUUUUGGUAAGCAGAACUGGCGCUGUGGGAUGAACCAAACGUAAUGUUACGGUGCCCAAAUUAACAACUCAUGCAGAUACCAUGAAAGGCGUUGGUUGCUUAAAACAGCAGGACGGUGAUCAUGGAAGUCGAAAUCCGCUAAGGAGUGUGUAACAACUCACCUGCCGAAGCAACUAGCCCUUAAAAUGGAUGGCGCUUAAGUUGUAUACCUAUACAUUACCGCUAAAGUAGAUGAUUUAUAUUACUUGUGAUAUAAAUUUUGAAACUUUAGUGAGUAGGAAGGUACAAUGGUAUGCGUAGAAGUGUUUGGCGUAAGCCUGCAUGGAGCUGCCAUUGGUACAGAUCUUGGUGGUAGUAGCAAAUAAUCGAAUGAGACCUUGGAGGACUGAAGUGGAGAAGGGUUUCGUGUGAACAGUGGUUGAUCACGAGUUAGUCGGUCCUAAGUUCAAGGCGAAAGCCGAAAAUUUUCAAGUAAAACAAAAAUGCCUAACUAUAUAAACAAAGCGAAUUAUAAUACACUUGAAUAAUUUUGAACGAAAGGGAAUACGGUUCCAAUUCCGUAACCUGUUGAGUAUCCGUUUGUUAUUAAAUAUGGGCCUCGUGCUCAUCCUGGCAACAGGAACGACCAUAAAGAAGCCGUCGAGAGAUAUCGGAAGAGUUUUCUUUUCUGUUUUAUAGCCGUACUACCAUGGAAGUCUUUCGCAGAGAGAUAUGGUAGAUGGGCUAGAAGAGCAUGACAUAUACUGUUGUGUCGAUAUUUUCUCCUCGGACCUUGAAAAUUUAUGGUGGGGACACGCAAACUUCUCAACAGGCCGUACCAAUAUCCGCAGCUGGUCUCCAAGGUGAAGAGUCUCUAGUCGAUAGAAUAAUGUAGGUAAGGGAAGUCGGCAAAUUAGAUCCGUAACUUCGGGAUAAGGAUUGGCUCUGAAGAUUGAGAUAGUCGGGCUUGAUUGGGAAACAAUAACAUGGUUUAUGUGCUCGUUCUGGGUAAAUAGAGUUUCUAGCAUUUAUGUUAGUUACUUGUUCCCCGGAUAGUUUAGUUACGUAGCCAAUUGUGGAACUUUCUUGCUAAAAUUUUUAAGAAUACUAUUUGGGUUAAACCAAUUAGUUCUUAUUAAUUAUAACGAUUAUCAAUUAACAAUCAAUUCAGAACUGGCACGGACUUGGGGAAUCCGACUGUCUAAUUAAAACAAAGCAUUGUGAUGGCCCUAGCGGGUGUUGACACAAUGUGAUUUCUGCCCAGUGCUCUGAAUGUCAAAGUGAAGAAAUUCAAGUAAGCGCGGGUCAACGGCGGGAGUAACUAUGACUCUCUUAAGGUAGCCAAAUGCCUCGUCAUCUAAUUAGUGACGCGCAUGAAUGGAUUAACGAGAUUCCUACUGUCCCUAUCUACUAUCUAGCGAAACCACAGCCAAGGGAACGGGCUUGGAAUAAUUAGCGGGGAAAGAAGACCCUUUUGAGCUUGACUCUAAUCUGGCAGUGUAAGGAGACAUAAGAGGUGUAGAAUAAGUGGGAGAUAUUAGACCUCGGUUUGGUAUCGUCAAUGAAAUACCACUACUCUUAUUGUUUCCUUACUUACUUGAUUAAAUGGAACGUGUAUCAUUUCCUAGCCAUUAUACGGAUAUAUUUAUUAUAUCUUAUGGUAUUGGGUUUUGAUGCAAGCUUCUUGAUCAAAGUAUCACGAGUUUGUUAUAUAAUCGCAAACAAAUUCUUUAAUAAAACGAUGCAUUUAUGUAUUUUUGAUUUGAAAAUUUGGUAUAACUCCAAUUACUCAGGUAUGAUCCAAUUCAAGGACAUUGCCAGGUAGGGAGUUUGACUGGGGCGGUACAUCUCUCAAAUAAUAACGGAGGUGUCCCAAGGCCAGCUCAGUGCGGACAGAAACCACACAUAGAGCAAAAGGGCAAAUGCUGACUUGAUCUCGGUGUUCAGUACACACAGGGACAGCAAAAGCUCGGCCUAUCGAUCCUUUUGGUUUAAAGAGUUUUUAACAAGAGGUGUCAGAAAAGUUACCAUAGGGAUAACUGGCUUGUGGCGGCCAAGCGUUCAUAGCGACGUCGCUUUUUGAUCCUUCGAUGUCGGCUCUUCCUAUCAUUGUGAAGCAAAAUUCACCAAGCGUUGGAUUGUUCACCCAUGCAAGGGAACGUGAGCUGGGUUUAGACCGUCGUGAGACAGGUUAGUUUUACCCUACUAAUGACAAAACGUUGUUGCGACAGCAUUCCUGCGUAGUACGAGAGGAACCGCAGGUACGGACCAAUGGCACAAUACUUGUUCGAGCGAACAGUGGUAUGACGCUACGUCCGUUGGAUUAUGCCUGAACGCCUCUAAGGUCGUAUCCGUGCUGGACUGCAAUGAUAAAUAAGGGGCAAUUUGCAUUGU